rnacentral:rRNA from 1 species
CUGGUUGAUCCUGCCAGUAGUCAUAUGCUUGUCUCAAAGAUUAAGCCAUGCACGUGUAAGUAUAAACAAAUUAUACUGUGAAACUGCGAAUGGCUCAUUAAAUCAGUUAUAGUUUAUUUGAUAGUGGAAUGCUACAUGGAUAACCGUGGUAAUUCUAGAGCUAAUACAUGCGAAAAGACCCGACUUUUGGGAAGGGUUGUAUUUAUUAGAUUCAAAACCAAUGAGCCGCAAGGCUGUUUCCGCAAGGAAAGGGUGGUGAUUCAUAAUAACUGUGCGAAUCGUAUUGGGCACUUGCUGCCGACGAUGGAUCAUUCAAAUUUCUGACUUAUUAACUUUCGAUGGUAAGGUAGUGGCUUACCAUGGUCGCCAUGAGUAACGGAGGAUCAGGGUUCGAUUCCGGAGAGGGGGCCUGAGAAAUGGCCACCACAUCCAAGGAAGGCAGCAGGCGCGUAAAUUAUCCACUUCCAGAGCGGAGAGAUAGUGACAAUAAAUAACAAUGCUCGACUCUUUAUAGCCGAGCAAUUGGAAUGAGUACAACGUAAAGAACUUAACGAGAACCAAUUGGAGGGCAAGUCUGGUAGAUCCUGCCAGUAGUCAUAUGCUUGUCUCAAAGAUUAAGCCAUGCAUGUCUAAGUAUAAACUGCUUAUACUGUGAAACUGCGAAUGGCUCAUUAAAUCAGUUAUAGUUUAUUUGAUGGUACUUCUACUCGGAUAACCGUAGUAAUUCUAGAGCUAAUACGUGCGUAAAUCCCGACUUCUGGAAGGGACGUAUUUAUUAGAUAAAAGGCCAGCCGGGCUUUGCCCGACCUGCGGUGAAUCAUGAUAACUUCACGAAUCGCACUGCCUCGUGCAGGCGAUUUUUCAUUCAAAUUUCUGCCCUAUCAACUUUCGACGGUAGGAUAGAGGCCUACCGUGGUUUUAACGGGUGACGGAGGAUUAGGGUUCGAUUCCGGAGAGGUAGUCUGAGAAACGGCUUUCACAUCCAAGAAGCAGCAGCGCGCAAAUUACCAUCCGACACGGGAGUAGUGACAAUAAAUACAAUGCCGGCAUUCAUGUUCUGGCAAUUGGAAUGAGUACAAAUUAAAU